CCUACGGGAGGCAGCAGUAGGGAAUAUUGCUCAAUGGGGGAAACCCUGAAGCAGCAACGCCGCGUGGAGGAUGAAGGUUUUCGGAUUGUAAACUACCUUUGUUAGAGAAGAUAAUGACGGUAUCUAACGAAUAAGCACCGGCUAACUCCGUGCCAGCAGCCGCGGUAAUACGGAGGGUGCAAGCGUUACUCGGAAUAACUGGGCGUAAAGAGUGCGUAGGCGGGUUAUCGAGUCAGAUGUGAAAUCCUAUGGCUUAACCAUAGAACUGAAUUUGAAACUGUUAUUCUAGAGUAUUGGAGAGGUAGGUAGAAUUCUAUGUGUAGGGGUAAAAUCCGUAGAGAUCAGGAGGAAUACUCAUGGCGAAGGCGGCCUGCUAGAACAUGACUGACGCUGAGGCGCGAAAGCGUGGGGAGCAAACAGGAUUAGAUACCCCUGUAGUC
rnacentral:rRNA from 1 species